UGUUUGUUGUCAGAAGGAAAAGGGAUCAUAACAUCAGUAAAUGUCUAGGUGGCACAGAAAUGGAAAACAGAACAUAGGAGAAAUGGAAAAUGUAACAUAAGACAACUAGGUAACACAAAAACGAGAAAUCGUAACACAAGACAACUAGGUAACACACAAAAACGAGAAAUGGAAAAUGGAACAUAGGAGAACUAGGUAACCAAAAUGAGACACAAGAAACAGAACAUACGAAAAGAUACGAAAGAUCCAUAAGUUUACUUGAGAAGAAAUGCUCAGAUUUGAGAGUUUUUGUGCAUCAUAUGUAAGAAACUGAUUGCAUUACAUUUCACAUUGCUUAUAAGCCAUCUAACUAGACAGUUAACAAUGCCAUUUGGAACAGAAUUGCCUCACCAUAUAUUCAAUUAAAUCCGAGAAACUGUUAGUUUAUUAGUGAGCACGCAAUGCAUCAACUU